UUCCCAGAAAGGAAGUAGAGAGUGAAGAAGUCUCUGGGGCUUCCGUUGUUUAAGUUUGAAUUCUCCUUUUCUGCUGUCUCGUCAUCCUCAUCCCUCUUGCGCUUCUUGGCAUCAACGUCGUUCUCCUGGUCAUCUGCAGGGCCCCUGGCCUGGCUGCCUAGGCGUCUUGGUCUUCCUCUCCUCGUCCUCCUCAGCGCCUCCCCCUCUGCUUCCCUGCCUCUCUGGGAGCCGCCAGCUGCAUCUCCUCAUUAGCAUUCCCUUUAGCAGGGUUCUCUUCCUUUCUCUGCCUCCUCCACGACUUCCUUCUCCUCCUCUAAGUCCCUGGUGGUGAUCUCGGAGCAAGUGGCCACAGAGGCCUCUGGCUUGGUGAGGCAAGCAGGUGAUCCCCUGCAGCGGGGUAGAAAGAAAACUAGAGUUCAGGGACUGCGCCAUAAAGCGGCUGGAGUCCGCGGGUGGAGGAGGCGCACACUGGGGGCAGUGGCGGCCAGAGCGGAGCUGGACCCGGGAACAAUGCAAAGAUGGAUUUCUUCCUGGUAAUGAAUAUAUCUAUCCCUGGUCUUUCAGGCUGAAGGCCUCUCCACAGAGCUGGCAGCUGAAGUGCUUCUCACCCUAUGAUUUUCUGGUGGCCUGGGAGACUGAACAACACCUCAAAGUUUGGUUCCAUUGGAAGCACUCAAAGGACCUGGUCCCUAUGUACACUGUUUGACAAGUGGCUAGCUGACUGUGGCAGCUCAGCACCUUCCUGCAAAAUGCCACAGAUAGACCCAUGAUCUUUAGCCUGGUACGGUACUUGUAAUUCUCCCUGGGGACUUGCCGCCAUUUGUAGGAGUUUCCACACACCUUGACAUGGAGAGCCACAGGCUUGUCCAUUUUCCUCCCCAAAGCAGCUCUGUGAAGGUACAUGUUAGCUGUGGUCUGAAGGAAGAUCUUCCUGAAGCCAGCCAUAUUCUGGGAUCUUCCCCACAGGAGGACUUCUUAGGAGACUAGGCCAGCCAAUCACAGCACCUCUUCUCAUCAACAGGCUUUCUUGCAAGAAUAAGGAAGAUGUGAGAUGCUGAACUGGCUACUUGCUGUUUUAUUUCUCAAACUACCGAACAUUUAUCUACAGUAAUUUGGCCAUGAGUAUUCCUCUGGGUAAUGACAAAUGUGCUUUUUCAUUGGCUUUUUCUAGAUUAAAUCUUUGCUAUUUGCCAAGUAA